AGCGAACGCUGGCGGCAGGCCUAACACAUGCCAGUCGAACGAACUCUUCGGAGUUAGUGGCGGACGGGUGAGUAACACGUGGGAACGUGCCUUUAGGUUCGGAAUAACUCAGGGAAACUUGUGCUAAUACCGAAUGUGCCCUUCGGGGGAAAGAUUUAUCGCCUUUAGAGCGGCCCGCGUCUGAUUAGCUAGUUGGUGAGGUAAAGGCUCAACAAGGCGACGAUCAGUAGCUGGUCUGAGAGGAUGAUCAGCCACAUUGGGACUGAGACACGGCCCAAACUCCUACGGGAGGCAGCAGUGGGGAAUCUUGCGCAAUGGGCGAAAGCCUGACGCAGCCAUGCCGCGUGAAUGAUGAAGGUCUUAGGAUUGUAAAAUUCUUUCACCGGGGACGAUAAUGACGGUACCCGGAGAAGAAGCCCCGGCUAACUUCGUG
rnacentral:rRNA from 1 species